GGAAAAAUAAGGAGAAGCUGUAGCAGAAAUAUAACCAGCUAAAGAAACUAGACAGUGCUGGAAGGCCUGAUUGCUCCAGUGUCAUGGAGAGUCUGGCACAUCAUGGGAGCUCGAUUACGAUGUGCUGAAUGAACGAGUAGGUCCCCACUUCACUGUGGUAGGGCUGCACUAGGUACGAUUCAAUGUGCUGGCAAGGAGGAGAAAAAACAAUCAAACAUCUAAGAUGACUAUUCGUUUUUCGUGGACGAUCUAAUCAGUAUCCUGUAUAGCUGGACUUGAACUGGCCAGCAUCAAAGUCACCAGUUUCAUCUGACCACGGAGCACUUGAUAUGUGGCUGAUCGGAACUGAGAUGUCUUGCUGUGUAAAGUACACUGGAUUUCAAAGUCUUAGUAUGAAAUAAAGAAUGUAAAAUGUCUCCUCAAUAAUUUUUUAUAUGGAUUACACAUGGAAAUGGUAAUAUUUUGGAUAUGUCUG
rnacentral:lncRNA from 1 species